CAGCACCUCAAGUGGUCAGGAUGAUUAUUGGGCCUAAAGCAUCCGUAGCCUGUUCUGUAAGUUUCCGGUUAAAUCCAUUAGCUCAACUAAUGGGCUGCCGAAAAUACUGCAGAACUAGGGAGUGGGAGAGGUAGACGGUACUCGGUAGGAAGGGGUAAAAUCCUUUGAUCUAUUGAUGACCACCUGUGGCGAAGGCGGUCUACCAGAACACGUCCGACGGUGAGGGAUGAAAGCUGGGGGAGCAAACCGGAUUAGAUACCCGCGUAGUCC
rnacentral:rRNA from 1 species